GGUCAAGUGAAGAAGCGCAUACGGUGGAGUGCCUUGGCAGUCAGAGCGUGAAGACCAUGUGUAGCCUGCGAAUCUAAGCUUCGGUAGGAGUCGGCAAACAGACUUAUGAUCCUGAGAUGUCUUGAAUUGGUGGGGAACCUAGCCAUCAUAAUAUGGUUAUCUUGUACUGAAUACAUAGGUGCAUGAGGCGACCAGGGAACUGAAACAUCUAAGUAACCCUGAGAAAAGAAAUCAACCGAGAUUCCCCUUAGUAGUGGCGAGCAACGGGGACUAGCCCCUUAGCUUUCUUUGCGGAUUUUAGCGGGACGCUCUGGAAGUGCGGCCAUAGUGGAUGAUGUCGCCCUGUACGCGAAAGGAUCUUAGAAUUGAAAUCGAGUAGGACGGAAGCACGAGAAACUUUUGUUCUGGAAUAUGGGGGGACCAUCCUCCAAGGCUAAAUACUACUGGACUGACCGAUAGUGAACUAGUACCGUUGAGGGAAAGGCGAAAAAGAACCGGAGAGGGGAUGAAUAGAUCCUGAACCGUAUGCGUACAAGCAGUGGGAGCCCAACUUUGUUGGGUGACUGACGUAAACCUUUUGUAUAAUGGGUCAGCGACUAUAUUUUCAGUGGCGAGCUUAACCGAUUCGGGAGGCCGUAGCGAAGCGAGUCUUAAUGGGCGUCUAGUCGCUGGGGAAUAGACCGAAACCGGGCAGAUCUAUCCAUGCAGGUUGAAGGUUGGGUACUACUAACUGGACAGGACCGAACCGUGACUACCGUUGAAAAGUUUAGCGGAUGACCCUGUGGAUCGUGGAGUGAAAAGCUAAUCAAGCCUCGAGAUAGCUUGGUUCUCUUCGAAAGCUAUUUAGGUAGCGGCCUCAUGUAUCACUGUAGGGGGUAGAGCACUGUUUCGCUAGGGGGUCAUCCCGACUUACCAAACCGAUGCAAACAUCCGAAUACCUACAAGUCCCGAGCUGGGAGACACACGGGCGGAGUGCUAACGUCCGUCGUGAAAAGGAAACAACCCAGACCGCAGCUAAGGGGUGCGCCAAAGUUAUGGUUAAGUAUACUGAAACGAUGAUGGAAGGCUAGACAGCUAGGAGGUUGGCUUAGAAGCUAGCCACCCCUUUAAAGAAAGUACGUAAUAGCUCCUAGUCAGUCGGCCUGCUGCGAUGAUUUAACGGGGCUCAAACCUACACCGAAGCUACGGGUAUCAACGCAAGUGAGCGGUAGAGGGCGUCUGUAAGCUGUGGAGUGUGAGUUGAGAGCUUGCUGUGAGGUAUCAAGAACAGUGGGCGAAUGCUGACAUGAGUAACGUUACAAUGGGUGUAAAACACCCACGCCGGAAAGACAAGGUUUCCUGCGCAACGUGUUAAUCGGGGUACCAGGGUUUAGUCGGUCUCCUAAGGCGAGGCUGAAAAGCGUAGUCGAUGAAACAGGUUAAUAGUUUCCUGUACUUCUGGCUAUUGCGAUGGGAGGGACGGAGAAGGCUAGGCCAGCUUGGGCGUUGGUUGUCCAAGUUUAAGGUGGUAGUGCUGGAAUCUUAGGUAAAAUCCGGAUCUAGCCGAGAGCUGUAUGACGAGUUACCUUUGGGUGACGAAGUGGUUGAAUGCGCAUGCUUCGCAAGAAAAGCUUCUAGCUUCAGUAACCAGGAACCGAUACCGUCCAAACCGUGACACAGGUGGUUGGUAGAGAACUCCAAAGGCGCUUGAGAGAACUCGGGUGAAGGACUAGGCAAAAUGGCACCGUACCUUCGGGAGAAGGUGCGCCGGGUGAGGGUGAAGCCUUGCGGCGUAAGCCCACGCCGGUCGAAGAUCCAGGCCGCUGACGAUGUUUAUUAAAACACACACGUCUGCAAACACGAAAGUGGACGUAUAGGGUGUGACGCCUGCCCGGUGCGUGGUUAAAAUAUGAUGGGGUUAGCUAACGCGAGCUCUUUGAUCGAAGCCCCGGUAAAACGGCGGCCGUAACUAUAACGGUCCCUAAGGUAGCGAAAUUUCCUUGUCGGGUAAGUUCCGGGACCUGCACGAUGGCGUAACGUGGCGGCGCUGUCUCCACCCGAGACUCAGUGAAAUUGCAAUCGCCUGUGAAGAAUGCAGUGUAUCCGCGCUAGACGGAAAGACACCCGUGAACCUUACUAUAGCUUUGCACUGGACUUUGAAUUGCUGUGUAGGAUAGGUGGGUAGGACUUUUGAAGCGUGGACCACAAUAUUCGCGUGUCAAAGCCAUCCUUGAAAUACCACCCUGGCAACUUUGUGUUCUAACUCAGGUCGUUAGCCGGAUCGAGGACAGUGUAUGGUGGGUAGUUUGCUGGGGCGGUCUCCUCCUAAAGAUAACGGAGGGUACGAAAGGUGCGCUCAGACCGGCCGGAAAUCGGUCGUAGAGUAAAAGGCAGAAGCGCGCUUGACUGCGAGACAGACAACCUGUCGAGCAGGUACGAAAGUAGGUCUUAGUGAUCCGGUGGUUCUGUAUGGAAGGGCCUAAUCGCUCAAGGAUAAAGGUACUACCGGGGAUAACAGUCUGAUACCCCCCAGAGUUCAUAUCGACGCGGUUGUUUGGCCUCGAUGUCGGGCUCCUCACAUCCUGGGCUGAAGCCGGAAAUCCAAGGGUAUGGCAUGUUCGCCAUUAAAAGUGUAGCGAUCUGGGUUUAGAACGUCGUGAGAACAGUUCGAAAGUCCUCCUAUCUGCCCGUGGACGUUUGGAUUUGAGAGGGGCUGCUCCUAUACGAGAGGACCGGGAGUGGACGAACCUCUGAGUGUUCGCGGUUGUCAUCGCCAUGUGGCAUUACCGGGUAGCUAUGUUCGGAAAGAUAACCGCUGACAAAAGCAUCUAAGCGGGAAACUUGCUGCAAGAUGAGAUCUCACGGUGACCUUGAGUCGCCCUGAAAAGGGCCCGGGCCGUGCGUGAAGACUACGACGUUGAGAAGGCGCAGGGUGUGUAAGCGCUGUGGAGGCGUUUGAGGCUAACCUGUAAUCUAAUUGCCCUGAGGCUUGACCAU
rnacentral:rRNA from 1 species